CAGGCUCCAUGCACCGGGAGCCCGACGUGGGACUCGACCCCGGGUCUCCAGGAUCGCGCCCUGGGCCAAAGGCAGGCGCCAAACCGCUGCGCCACCCAGGGAUCCCAUCACAGAAGAAUCCUAACCAAACCCAGGCCAUUGGCACACGAUGGCACAUGGGGAUCUGGGUGCUAGUCUAGGCAUCGUGGGACAGGCUGAAUGUGCCUUUAAUGGGUGUGGCAUUUAGAAGGGAAAGAUUUAUUAACUGGAAUUACAUUAGGGGGUGUUCUCUUCCCCGAAGAAGGCAGAGGAUGGCCAUCAGCCCUGGAAAAGAAGGACAUGAGGCAGGCUCAGUGAUAGAAACACUGGGAACCAGCACAGGGAAGGGCAGUGACCUGACCCAGCAGGGCCCCUGGAUUGUUUGAAGACAGAGGCCAAAGUAGAUUCACAGUGAUCACCCUCCACCCUUUGGGAAUCUUAGAGACCCCAAACCUGUGGAAGUCCUCUGGGGCACCUGACCUGGGAGGGAUCAGAGUGAAGACAGUCUACCCGACAGGGAGCCAGGGUAACGCCGGCCCUGCUACAGCACAGCACACGCUGGAAACCAUCCUCCCAUGAGGCUCUGAGCUGAGACAGGGUGACCGGCUUUGUCCCCAAUUCAGAACCCAGGAAAAACUGAGUCAUGUCCAUACUCUCUGGUGAACAGGCAAGGGCAGCUGUGCUGAGAAGGUGGUGCUAGCACCUCUAACAUUGCUGUAGUUGAUAUCUAGUCCCCCAGGGAUGCUUGGGUGGAUUAGACACCUCCAAGGUUGAGCAUCUGCCUUCAGCUCAGGGCAUGACCCCAGGGUUCUGGGAUCAAGUCUCACAUUGGGCUCCCCGCAGGGAGCCUGCAUCUCCCUCUGCCUGUGUCUUUGCUUCUCUGUCUCUCUCUGUCUCUCAUGAAUAAAUAAAUAAAAUCUUAAAAAAAAAAUAACCUAAAGUGCUGGCAGCAAUACUAACAACAAGGUGUCUGGAAAUGUACUGUAGACUGUGAAUGAGGGACAUGAAGACGCUUAACCUUGGAGGGAUGUACGAUGAGAUGCGGUGGUUGACAAUACACAAGGUUUGUGGAAAAGGAGAAUCAUAGGCGCUCUGAUGCUCCGGGGGGCAAACCAGGGUCACUGUCCAAGAGGAAGACUAUCCUAUGCGGUCUCCACCCAUGGGGGUUGCAGCCCGAGAGCCCGGAGCUCCCUGUCCAGCUGCAGAACUGGACAGGUCACUGGAUGCCUGCUCACAAAUCUCUGUGACCAAGACCCUGCGGGUCUGCCAAAGCCAGAGGCGGGGAUUGCUGCAGGAGCACCCCCCAUGUAUUGGGAGAGAUGCAGAUUCUGUCCCGCUUCCCUACCUGGGCAGGGGCUCCGGGUGCAUCACAUGCAGUGCUGCCCUUUUGAUGACACCAUUCUGAAGAGCUUCCAUCAGGGCAUCCUGAUAGACUAACAGACCUGAUCAGAGAGAAAAGGCCCCUGCAUGAGUACAGUUGGACGGUCCCCAGGAAGGGUGCUCUGCUCUUAGCAGCUGCUGUUGCAAACACAUCCUGAUCUUGCCAAACAUCUGACAGAGGCCGCAAGCUUCUUCGUGUCUCUUCGUUGUUGGAUGUGGGGCUGACACGUGCCAGGCAGUGCACUAGGCCUGCACACACACUCUCCCACUAGAUCCUCCAAACACUGGGCAGCCAGUCCUCAUUUUACUCACGAGGAACUGAGGCCUGACGGCAGGUCACAUAACUCCUAGCAAAUCAGCCCAGACCCUGUGGCCUGGGCCCAUGUUGCGUCACUACCUCCUGGCAUGAGCAUUUGUUCUUUGGGGUAGGGAUGCCACCCUGACAGCUGCGUAUGCACGAUGGACACUAAGCCACAAGCAGAAUUCUCAACUGUCCUUUCAGAUUCAGAAGAGCCGAGCACAUUUGAGCAGAAACUGAGAAGAAAACCCUUUCCUUCGGCAUGGAGCUCUUUUCCUCUGGGCAGCGGGAGCAGCAGGGGAGGCUGCUGGAAAAGCCUAGUCCACGCCCUUUCCCGGCUGUUUUCCCAGAAUCUCAAGCACGUCCACCAGCCUCUGAUGUUACUGAAACUACUUGCUCCUUCCUGCUCACCUAGAGGGUCUGAAUUUUCAGAGAACUCUGGAGCAAGUUAGCCCAGCCCUGUGCAUGCCAACGUGGGGCAGUGGGCCCUCCCGCAAGACGGAGCGAUUCUGGGACACCAGCACCUGUGUCUGAGAAUUCAGCCCAAUUCUGAUGCUGUCUACCUUGGAAAUAGCAUCCAAUCCCACAGGUGAAGGGCUCAGGCCUCUCAUGCUGCCCCCACCCCUGACCUCAGACACUGGUCAGAUGUCCCAGGCUGUUACUUGUAUUUCUGGCCAAGUAGCCACCAGUUGGAGAUUCCAGUGACUUCCUCCUUAGGCUCCGUUAAUUUGUGGCAGUGGCUCACAGAACUCAGGGAGACACUCACAUUUACCUCUUUGUUAAGGGAUCUGAGAGAGGGUGAGAACCCACAGCCCAAUGAAGAGGCGCACAGGGAGAGAUUUGGGGACAGGGCAUGGAGCCUGCAUGCCUUCUGCUGACAGCUGCCAUUCUCCCUAGUCCCUGGGUCUUCACUGAUUCAGAAGCUUCUGAACCCAGGCAUUUUGGGUUAUUAUGGAGGCUUCUCUGCUUGGCCACAAUUCAUGAAAUCAUUGGCCACUGGCUGAUUGAAACGCCAGGCCCUCUCAUCUCCCCAGAGGUCAGGUGUGGGCCCCAUGGUUGGGCCUCCUGGCAGCAGCCCCUGCCCUUGAUCGAGUGGGUUCCAGAAGGCACCUUUUUUAAACAAAUGGCACCUUUAUCACUCAACGCUUCAGAGAUUUUGAGGGUUUGGACAGUAGGAGCCAGAAACUGUGCAUGAAGACCACAGCAGAAUAACCUACUAUGUUUCUUACAAAUCAUCAUCUCAGGUGGCAAGCAUGGUCUUCCUUGUUCUACAGAAGAGACAGGAGCGGCUCUUGGGAGCCCUAGGUGUCCCGUGUCCUCUGGCCCCCAGCCCACAGAGGUCACUGGCCUGAAUGUCCGACAUCAGUGCCGACGCUCUAUUCUUUAUAAAUGCCGCACCAACCCACAACAUUUGGGACCACCACAGGGUCCACUGCCUCUUGUAUGUAAACACAAGGCAUGAAAUGUCGAAUAACCAAACUAACACUAAGCUAUUUAUUUUUUAAAGUGAAGGCUCAUAAGAAUUCAUCCCCAUAAAUUUUACUAAAUUGUACCCAGAAAAUCAAAGUGUAAUGGCUCUACUCCAACAUGCCCAGACAGGGGUGUGAAGACUCCAUAUGGUACUAUUCUCAUCCUUUUUGUUGUUGAUUUGAGUUUCAGAAUGAUGUGAAAACAAAAAUCAGAAAUAUUUCUACAUGGAAAGUAAAGUCCUGGGAACUCAGUACCCCAGCCUUCUACGUGGACUCUCAGGACACCGCGGCUGUGCCGGAGAAAGAUCUCCAACAUGAUCUUCACAUAUACCGUAAGGCCCUUCCAAUCCAGACACCAAAACACCAGGGUUCUGAGCACCUGGCUUCCAACAAGGGAGGAUCCCCCACCCACAACUUGAAGCAAUUCCCAGGAUUCCAGUAGGGUGUCUGAGAAUUCAACUCAAUUCUGAUUCUAUGUACCCAACAACAGCAUCAGAUCCCAGAGGGUAGGGGCUCCAUCCUACAAAACCACCACCCCUCCCUUAAUUAAGAUUAAGCCCCUCUGCUCUUCCCCCAGCUCAUGUUCUCUCACUCUAUCUAAAAUAAAUAAAUAAAAUAUUUAGAAUACUGAA